ensembl:lncRNA
CCAUUUACAAACUUUUAUCCUCAUCCUGUUACGACACGUUGUUUUGUUGUGCUAAUAUGUAGCCGUAAACUCAUUGGUGUCUGUAGGAGCUGCAGCCCUGCACACAUAUCAGGACACUUUUCAAGAACAGCUGAGAGGUGUAGGCUACUACUAAGCGAGAGGUCAACUAUGGAUACUCGGCUGUGAGAAUUUUUGAUGGAGCGAAACUUGAAGAUGAGAAUAAAGGCAAAUCAAACACAUCCACAUCACAUGGGACUGAACUGACAAACGUGCAGCUGUCUUUACAUGUGGUUAAAUCAUCAGUCAGUGGAACAAGACAGUCUUCUGCACCCCAAAGAUGCACAAUGAGGGACGUCUGCAGAGACUGAGAAAGAGUCUCACCACAUCCUGACAUGAGGAAAAAGACUUUAUUGAAGACUACAAUGAGAAAAACUAUCAGACAGCAGACGGCUGCAUUCAAGAGAAGAAGACCAUCAAACAUCCACAUCAGCUGAUGGAGGUCCAAGAGUCUCACCAAACAACCAACCUACAGAGUGAAGACCUCGAAUCUGAUUGGACGGCCUCCUAUUCAGCCACAUGUGUGAACAAAUGCCUCUAAGUUGAUUUGUUUUCUAAAAUAAAUCUAGUUUGAGUCCUAAUCUAUGCCUGUGUGUUUGCUUCUUUACACCGCUGUUAACAGUUUAGGCUGUUAGAUUGUUCCAGAUAAGACAAGUACAAGAUCCUGCAGAGCCGUUCUACCACGAGCCUGACAGGAAGAACUCCAACAGCUACUGAAUGUUCCUGUGGUUCCCUCAAGGCUACAGGAGGAGCCCUACGAGGACGAGCCGGUCCACCUGAUGGAGGCCAGUCGCUGCGGUUCAAAGCCAACACCGACUACGUGGACUUCUACUGGACCACAUGGAGGCCUUCAAACCGGACCAACAAGUUCAGCGACUCCCCGACUCGUGGGUCUGAGGAUGCCGCCGAGCCUCGGUCCAGCCGGCCUCCUGUCUGUGGGUGUUUGAGUGCUGAGAGGUUUGUGGAUGCAUGUGAACGUUCUGUGUUGAAACAGCAGCUUUGGACUCAGUAACGCCGGGAAAAACCAAGAGCUCCUUUAUUUGUGACUUCCACUAAAAAACUGAUGAAAAUAAGUUUGUCAGGGUUCUGACUGAUAACAGAUUAUUAAAUAAUGAAAAUAAUCAUUUAAAUAUUCCUUUAAACAAUCCUUUUAGGUCUACAUUUCCUUUACACUGACUUCUUGGUAUAUGUACAAGUAUUUUGGGUGGAAUAUACCAUUAAGCCCAAUGUUCAAGGGUUCUUCUGGGAAUAUACCAUUAAACCAACCUUUUAGGUAAAUGUUCCAAGAUGUUGGGUAGAAUAUACCAUCAGAUCAACCUUUUAGGUCUACACUGGAAGAUUUUAGAGUAGAAUAUUACUCCAAACCAUCCUUUAGCUCUACAUUUAAGGUGGAAUACUCCUUUACACCAAGAUUUUUUGGUCUACAUUGAAGGAUUUUGGAUGGAAUAUUCCUUUGAACGAACUUUUUAGGUUUAUGUUCAAGGAUGUUGGGUGGAAUAUACCAUCAGAUCAACCUCCAAGGUCUACAGUAGUGAAUUUUAGGUGGAAUAUACCAUUAAACUCACCUUUUAGGUCUACAUUUUAGGAUUUUAGGUGGAAUUUUCUUCCAAACCGUCUUUUAGUCUACAUUUAAGGAUGUUUAGGAUGGUAUAUUCUUCCGAACCAAUUUCUCAGGUCUACGUUUCAGGUGGAAUAUUCCUCCAUACUAACUUUUUGGUCUACAUUGAAGGAUCUUUUCUAAACCACUCUUUCGGGUCUAUAUUUGAGGUUUUAGGUGGAAUAUUCCUUUUAACCAGCCCCUCAGGUCUCUGAGGAUUUUGGAUGGAAUACUCGGUUAAACCAACAUUUUGGAUACAUGUCCAAGGAUUUUUGGUGGAAUGUUCCUUUAAGGUGGAUGUUUGAGGACCUUGUAGGUGGAAAACUUCCUGAAACCAACCUUUUAGGUCAACAUUCAAAGAUUUAAGGUGGAGUAUUCCUUUAAACCAACCUAAAUUUCAUGUUUUGAUCAUUAUCAAGUGAGAAACCUCAAUCCAGACUCCUCAUAAUGACGUUUGAGAUUUAUGCUGCUGUUAUUUGUUUAGUCCAGACUAAAUGACAGAAAUCCACAACUGUAAUUUUAUUUCAGGACUCGGUUAUUAAAUGUCAAAACAAUCCAUGUGACUCUAAAAACUCAACAGCUUUACAAACUCUAAGAUUAAACUCUCCACAAGGAUCCAAAAUAAGCUGGACUUCUACAUGAGAGCUUUAAUUAUUCUUCAUCUACUUCCUGAAAAGUUUGGUCAAUAAAAAAGACAAAAACUAGUAUUUUCAGCUGAACUAAAGACAGACUUUGUGAUUUUUCUGCUCACAUGUUGUGUUGUUGUAAACUUCCUCUUUCAAAUAAAUACCCACCUAACCCCCUGGAAACCAGCAUUUGUCCUGUUUUUGUGUUGCUCCUCAGUGACCCUAGACAGCCGGGUCGUAAUGUAUUUUGAGCAACACACCAUACUAUGACGUUUUUACAAUGAUGGUUCUGCUAUGGAACCAGUUUGACAUGUUCAGGCGUUCUUUGUGUGAAAACUCGGAGAUUUCAGGUAUCAGAAGGUGGUUUUCAACUUUCUUUGUUAACUUUCUGCCUCAACUUUAAACUAAAUUUCCUUCACUAACCCAGCCCUCUGGACUUCCAGUAAGCUGUGUUCCUAUUGGCUGUCCCAGUGGCUGCUAGGUAUUAUCAGGAACACCUGAGCAGCUCAGUGUCUUCCUGCUUUAUUUAGCUGCAGACAAACAUUUCCUCUGCUUCUGUUCACCACUGAACCGGGUUUGGCUCCGUUGCUUUAAUUUGUUCUUUAGGCGUUGGCUUGCAGCUUCCAGCAGUAAAAUUGUCUUUAAUGUGUUUCUUGGUGUGUUUUAGGGCUUUGUACUGGAUAGUUGUCUUGGUAAAUGUGGUUCUUUAGCCACAGUUACCACAUGGUGCUACUGUGUGCAGUGAUUAGUGGAUUUGGUGCAGCUGAGUUGUGUCUUUAUCUUGGCUGUAGUGAGUCUUCAGAGGUUUUUGGUCAGACACAUUCUGUAUUCUUGUUUGAGAACCAUCGUUGGUUGUCCAGAAGGUAAGAGUUCAUGUCCUGAUUCUCUGUUCUCAGAGGUUCUCUGGUAGGCUGCAGGACACUUUAGCGUUUGG